rnacentral:rRNA from 1 species
CCUACGGGUGGCAGCAGUGGGGAAUAUUGCACAAUGGGCGCAAGCCUGAUGCAGCCAUGCCGCGUGUGUGAAGAAGGCCUUCGGGUUGUAAAGCACUUUCAGCGGGGAGGAAGGCGGUGAGGUUAAUAACCUCAUCGAUUGACGUUACCCGCAGAAGAAGCACCGGCUAACUCCGUGCCAGCAGCCGCGGUAAUACGGAGGGUGCAAGCGUUAAUCGGAAUUACUGGGUGUAAAGCGCACGCAGGCGGUCUGUCAAGUCGGAUGUGAAAUCCCCGGGCUCAACCUGGGAACUGCAUUCGAAACUGGCAGGCUAGAGUCUUGUAGAGGGGGGUAGAAUUCCAGGUGUAGCGGUGAAAUGCGUAGAGAUCUGGAGGAAUACCGGUGGCGAAGGCGGCCCCCUGGACAAAGACUGACGCUCAGGUGCGAAAGCGUGGGGAGCAAACAGGAGUAGAUACCCGGGUAGUC